CUCCAUUUUAGAGUGCAGCAAAGAUGUGAUACUUCUGUCGCUGGGUAAACCUCAUUUAAUCUCUUACUAAUGCAAUUCGUUCAAAAUAAGGUUUUCUUGCUGUCACACGGGGAAACUUAGCGAAAUUGAAAACAUUUCCUCAGAAGUAAACUCAUUCUUUCAGCAUUUGGUACCAAAUAUUUAGUCUCCACACGAGGGGUCUACUGAUUGCAUUCCUUAAUAAUCAUGCUUCUCUAAUGCUAUAAAUUAAAAUAAUAAUCUCCAUCUGACCUUUAAUAAGUGCCAGCUACAUGACAUUCUCAAGAGCAUCAUAGUGCAAUGCAUCACAGUGCAAUGCAUCACAUUGCAGCUGCAGAACAUAUCCUCUCGACUCAACGGCUAGAUGGCCAUAUCAGCCAUGUUUGUAGUUGCGACGAUACCAGUUCAUAGUUUUUCAUAUGGUUUCGGAAACCUUCCUGUUCUGGGAUUUGAAAUUAACUGUUUUCUUGCAGAAGUUGGUCUCACAGGCAUAUAAGAGCAGGGAUCAACCAUGUUACCCGGCCUUUGAAUGUUUGGCAUGGCUCGUUUCAACUCCUGUUGCAUACAGUUUGAACAAAUUGUCUGAACCGGCAGAGCACACAUUUCAAAACAUUUAUUGAUUGCAAACAUGCAGGAUAAUUGCAUUAUUCAAAAUAAUAUUAUUUCAAUUGUAAGAUAAUGCUUGAGUGCCAAAGGCUCGUAUAACGCCAUUUUCGUCACUUUUCUGACCACAGUAAUUAUUUUGAAAUAUAUUAGUUUUGCACUGUGACAGCGUACAAGAGUACCGACAUUAAGCUCCGCAAACGCCAUUUGUUGGAAAUGACAAUAUAUUUGCCACAUGGCAAGUAUUUCACGGCGUGUCUUUUAAAAGUCCCUAACAAUGCUUGUGCGCUUUUCCAGUACAGUCAAUAUAGUCACAUAUAAAUGUAGGUGAACCAAUAAAAGGAUUGCAUGCAAGACUGCAUUACUAUUAUGAAGGGCUUUUUUUCUGAGGUCAUUUAUUAUUGUCCCAAAGAUAUGGAAGCCAAAGGCAGCUAAAGAGGAGUAGUAUUUUCGGACCGUCACUUUCGUGGAUGUGAUUAUUUUUGUGAGAUUUUGCAUGACUCGGUAUUGAACUUUUCGAAAUAUAUGACCGAAAGCAUUACAGGCACUUUGUGAAGAUAACAAGCUAGACUCAGAGCUAGAAAGGCUCUUGGUCACCUAUUUCAGCACGUCCAUUGCUGAAUCGCACGAAAUCUCGUGAAAGGAUUGGGUUAAGGGGCCCUGAACCACCCUUCGGGAUUCGUGAAUUAACGCAUUCCGCAGAUAGCAUGCACUGAUGUGACCAUCUCGGCGAAAUUUCACAGUCGUGCGUGGAACAUGGAGUUUGCAAGUGAAUCGUGAAGCCACCCUUUCCUCAUACCCCUUCUUUAACAGAAGUGCUCUCCACAGUCUUUUUGGGCUGCUAUAUUUCGUCACAUAGCAGAUUCUCAUACACGGCUGCUUUUGGCCAAUAGUUGACAUCAAUCAAGAAGGGUGUGUAGAUCAGUGCGCUUCUUCCUGCUGUUACUGCGCAUAUUGAUUGAUGCUGCUUGGUAUACAGGCUGUAGUAAGUGAAAGUCUGUUUUCAAAUUUCUAUGAGAAUUACGUUACGAAACAAGCCGACUCUUCUCUACUCGCGCUCCACCGCUGCCGUCCACGUAGGGAUUCAACUUUUGCCACCCUGCUUAUCGGUAUCGUAGCCAUGGGGUCUUGCUAAUUUUGACUACCUUUGAACACUCAAGUAGCCUCGAAAGACUUGAAACUUAAGGUCAUACCUAAUGCACGUUUUCCGGCAUGCGCUCACUCCUGGCCGCGCCUGGCUAUGCUCCUUGGCAGUCUUCACUUUAUAACAUGCAAAUUAGAUGUGGCUACUAUCCGUUGGUCAAGCUGCUACAGAACAAAGCCGGUCUGCCCCACGUAGCACCGCAUAGACUGGAUUAAAGGAGUGCGGACGCGUGUUCAAGCCCUGUCGUACAGAAAGCAAAUGCUGUGCAACAUAGUUGCGUGUAGCUAUGGUCUGCUGCGUAGCGUAGAUACCACGACCAUCGCAUGGUGCUGGCACGUGCCCGCUCGCCGAGCCUUCUGCGACUGUGGCAGAUCCUGCUGCGCUCCGCUUUAAAGUGAGGCAUUGAAGGAGCGGGAGCACAGGUGACCAUUGAUUGCUAACUCCGCUUCUGCUGAACGCAUCGAGUACUUUUUGCACCAAAGUAUAUCUGAAAUAGUCUAUUUAACUUGAGAUCCAUUUCUCGAGUUCAAUAAAAAGUGGUUCAGGGCCCGUUUAAGAACACUGUCUCAGAAUUGUGCAAAGGUGUAAUCCCCCCCCCCCCCCUCUGCUCUGAGUAAAUAUAUAAAAACAAGCAGAGUGCUGUCUCUAAAAAAAGCUUUAUUUACAUUUAGGAGAGGGCAUCUCGUUUUCUCCAAGAUAAUCUCCAUGGCAGGCAACACACUUAUCCAACCUAUCCUGUAUUCCUGAAAGCUCCUCCAGGAACUCCUGAAGCUUGAUGUUGUUUGGUGCCCCUGUGCAAAGCUGUUUUCAUGUUGCCUUCUAUGACAAAUCAACUUCCGUUAAUGGAAUUUUUUUGUUGUUGACGGGGUUUUCUUUAUUGUCAGUCACAAAGAGGUACGUCCGAUGAAUUGAGUGAGCAGAUGAUUGGAGAAUGAUGGCCUAUUGCUGGAAGGCCUAAUACCGUGGCACAGACAAAGCAGUGUGAAAAGGGGUGUUGUUAUCGAGAAACCAAUCAUCCUGCCUUGGAAAUUCUGGACAUUUCCUUUGCACAUCCUCUCCCAAUCACCUGAGCGCCUCCAAGUAAAAUUGCUGUUUUUAAAACAAUUCCCAGAAGCUCUUGCUACCAACCCACAUAACCAGCAAACUUGAGCCUGCACGUUCGUUGGGUGCUUUCUUACAUCUGAACAGAAUGGAUGUUUUCGCAUCUCGGGAGGUGCUCGAUAGGCCGCAAAGGAUCAAGUGUAAUAUUCACCACAUUAGAAUAAUUGAUAUCUACUUGAUAUUGGAGAGCUUUAGAAUAGGGGCACCGAACGUUUGCGGCCCCAAGCAAAUAGCGUGGAAGCCACUGCGCAUGCACGAGACGCAAACUGCGUUUGAGUUUUGUGUCGGGCAUGCUAUUUCACUGAUUAAGCGGGAGCCCCAAAAGCCACCUCAAUAUAUUUGCGUAAACAAACAUGGUGGCACCUAUCGAAACGACGGGCUCUAACCUAGCACGAAAUGGCUGGACUCAUGGUAACGCGUGAAGUUCGCAAGCUAGGAGAAGUUACAGCAGUUAUCGCUUUCUCUCAACUAGCGUGUGUUAUGAAGAUUGAUUCAUUAGAUGCCGCUGAUUCCGAAUUCGAUCGCGGAUUAGCACAGCUUAGCUUGGCUAGUGAGGGCACGUAAAGUUGGUUACUCAAAACUAAGCGCAACUAAUCGUUUUCUGCUAAUCGAAUAACCUCUAAAUUGUAAAUAAACGCUACAACACGAAAGUCAAAAUUACUGUUCUUAUCAUAAGAUUGUAUAGUUUAUUUAAAUAUUUCUAAUAGCUGUUUUCACACCGUAGUGGCGUUGUCAGUGCAAAAUGCUAUCCGCAAACGCAAAGCCCUAUUAUAAAACUCUUCACUCCUUCGCACCCCAACGUUAACCCCCGCAAAGCUCCUUGGGGCCCCUCUUCAAAAACUUUCUAUUAAUUUACAUCACAUUGCACAUUACAAAAAUAUGCUCUUCAUUCAUUGGCUUGAUGGCCAUGUAAGCAAUGUAUGUUUUUGUUACACCACUUCGUAGAGUUGUUAUCCUUAAAUUGUGGAGCUUUACUUGCCAAAACGACCACCUCAUUAUCAGGCACACUGUAGUGAGGGACUUCGGAAUAAUUUCGACCACCUCGGCAUCUUUAACCUGCCCCCAGGUACGUUAAAGAUACCCAAGGCGUCCACACCGCUCAUGAAGUUGCUUCCUGUGCUUCGGUCUAAAGAGUCAGCAGGUUUUGCUCGUUUCAGUGCUUGUUUUGCAUGCACAUGAGAGCUGCGGCGAUAUGUGCGCACCAUUCUCUUAGCUGAAUUCUCUCUCCGUGCACUCCACUAUGUUGACCACACUUGGCUCGGCUCGACUUGGCUUCUGUUGCAUAUUCUUUCACAAAUUAUCUAAAACUGCAGAUCACAUAUUUCAAAGCCACCUUUUGAUUGUUGCAAAAACAUUUCGAGAAAAGCACGCAGAACAUCACUUUUGCCUCUUUUCCGACCAUAGUAAUUGUUACUUGCAAAUGGGAUUAGCUUUUGCCGUGUGACAGUUUACAGGGAUGCUUGAAUAAAUGGAAAAACAUUGACUCAUGCGAUUUCUAGCACUGUCCUCAAGUUUCAUCAGUGUGCAGGUUGUCCAAAACCUGCAAAACCUGUUUCAGGUCACUUGCAUGGGAUGUGCAGAUCCUCAUCUAGUCGGUUUGUGCCAGGCUUUCACGCAUAGCGAGGAAGUUGAUUUGUUACUAGCAUGGCAACGUGGGAAUGUCAUCUAGCUGUCUAGUAGGGCGUAAGCCACCUCUCACAUUUGUGCUUCGUCUGGCUGGCACUAGAGCAGCAACAAAUAAGGGUGCCUAUGUUUCCUGCAUUGCAGAAACAUUUUUAAAGGCCUUCCUUUUUAUUUUGUUUACAAUAGAACAUUUUCUGUGAUAACGCUGCGUUUUUUGUAGCGGCACUAAAGCUGAAUGACAAUGUAAUCUAGAUUGAUAAAUCGCACUUCUGUCGUACAUCAUGAAAUUUUCGCCGUGGUUGCUCGUGUUUAAAUAGUCAACUAGUAACAACGAAGAAAAAGGAUUUUAUCUGCUUGUAUGCCUAAAUUAAAAGUGCAUGUUUACUUAUACUAUGUGUAUUUGGAGCUCUUAUGAAUUUGUACAUUUUGCCAUACAUUUCUAUAGUGCUUGUUGGUGUUUUAGUAAGACUUUUUCCUUCUGUGUAUGCAAGAGGGUGGGACAAAUCAGCCUUUUGGCUUCUUAGUUUCAUGUUUAGUUACGAUGCCCAGUUUAUACAUAUUGUGGGACUUGUUCUUGCUGCUUAAUUGUGCUACAGUAAUAGAAGUUGUGGUUGUUCUUCUGCCACACGACAUCUGACAUUGCGGACCGUUAGAGGGGCCAUUUUGCCUGAUUUCAAGUUGGUUUGUUAUUGCAUGCUCUGUAUUUAUUUAUUUUUCUAUUCUAAUAAGAGGGAACAAGGUGUAACUCGGCAGCAUGAUACUCUGUGGUUUUAAAUAAAGGUAUGGAAGUGGUG